AUUGAACGCUGGCGGCAUGCCUUACACAUGCAAGUCGAACGGCAGCACGGGUGCUUGCACCUGGUGGCGAGUGGCGAACGGGUGAGUAAUACAUCGGAACAUGUCCUGUAGUGGGGGAUAGCCCGGCGAAAGCCGGAUUAAUACCGCAUACGAUCUACGGAUGAAAGCGGGGGACCUUCGGGCCUCGCGCUAUAGGGUUGGCCGAUGGCUGAUUAGCUAGUUGGUGGGGUAAAGGCCUACCAAGGCGACGAUCAGUAGCUGGUCUGAGAGGACGACCAGCCACACUGGGACUGAGACACGGCCCAGACUCCUACGGGAGGCAGCAGUGGGGAAUUUUGGACAAUGGGCGAAAGCCUGAUCCAGCAAUGCCGCGUGUGUGAAGAAGGCCUUCGGGUUGUAAAGCACUUUUGUCCGGAAAGAAAUCCUUGGCUCUAAUACAGUCGGGGGAUGACGGUACCGGUAGAAUAAGCACCGGCUAACUACGUG
rnacentral:rRNA from 1 species